AUUGAACGCUGGCGGCAGGCCUAACACAUGCAAGUCGAGCGAGCGGCGGACGGGUGAGUAGUGUCUGGGGAGUGCCCGAUCGAGGGGGAUACCUACUGGAAACGGUAGCUACUACCGCAUACUAUCGGAUAACCCAUAUGGGAUUAGCUAGUAGGUGAGGUAAUGGAUCACCGAGGCGACGAGCCCUAGCUGGUCUGAGAGGAUGAUCAGCCACACUGGGACUGAGACACGGCCCAGACUCCUACGGAGGCAGCAGGGGGGAAUAUUGCACAAUGGGCGCAAGCCUGAUGCAGCCAUGCCGCGUGUAUGAAGAAGGCCCUAGGGUUGUAAAGUACUUUCAGUCGGGAGGCGUUACCGACAGAAGAAGCACCGGCUAACUCCGUGCCAGCAGCCGCGGUAAUUC
rnacentral:rRNA from 1 species